rnacentral:rRNA from 1 species
UGAAAGUGGUGCCGGUGGCUGGGGGAAGACGAAGGGGGCUAGUGUUGCGCGGAAUACCGGGGCGGAAAGCGAACGUAGGAGGGCUCUGAAGUCGGUGGGGCAAGCAUGGAGCUGAGCUCCAGAACUGCCUGCGAUACUGGGAGUCUCAGAGGCCGGGAGAGGUGAGUGGAACUGCGAGUGUAGAGGUGAAAUUCGUAGAUAUUCGCAAGAACACCAGUGGCUAAGGCGGCUCACUGGCCCGGUACUGACGCUGAGGUGCGAAAGCGUGGGGAGCAAACAGGAUUAGAUACCCGAGUAGUC